CCUACGGGAGGCAGCAGUGAGGAAUAUUGGUCAAUGGGCGGAAGGCUGAACCAGCCAAGCCGCGUGAAGGACGAAGGUGCCAAGCAUUGUAAACUUCUUUUGUCAAGGGACAAAAUCAGGCUCGAGAGCCUGACCGAGGGUACUUGAAGAAAAAGCAUCGGCUACCUCCGUGCCAGCAGCCGCUGUAAUAGGGAGGAUGCUAGCGUUAUCCGGAUUUAUUGGGUUGAAAGGGUGCGUAGGCGGACUGUUCAUUCAGCGGUAAAUGCCCGGGGCUCAACCCCGGCGAGCGGGUGAAACUGGCUGUCUUGAGAUGGCGAGAGGUAUGCGGAAUGCGCAGGGUAGCGGUGAAAUGCUUAGAUAUUGCGCAGAACUCCGAUUGCGAAGGCAGCAUACCGGCGGCGAUCUGACGCUGAGGCACGAAAGCGUGGGUAUCGAACAGGAUUAGAUACACUGGUAGUC
rnacentral:rRNA from 1 species